GCUUCUGUGGCCAAGUGGUAAGGCGCAUGCCUAGUAAGCAUGAGAUCGGCGGUUCGAACCCGUCUAGAAGCU
rnacentral:tRNA from 1 species